CUUAGGUAAAUCCGGGAUCUUAAGGCCGAGAGCUGAUGACGAGUGUUCUUUUAGAACACGAAGUGGUUGAUGCCAUGCUUCCAAGAAAAGCUUCUAAGCUUCAGGUAACCAGGAACCGUACCCCAAACCGACACAGGUGGUUGGGUAGAGAAUACCAAGGCGCUUGAGAGAACUCGGGUGAAGGAACUAGGCAAAAUGGCACCGUAACUUCGGGAGAAGGUGCGCCGGUGAGGGUGAAGGACUUGCUCCGUAAGCUCAUGCCGGUCGAAGAUACCAGGCCGCUGCGACUGUUUAUUAAAAACACAGCACUCUGCAAACACGAAAGUGGACGUAUAGGGUGUGACGCCUGCCCGGUGCUGGAAGAUUAA
rnacentral:rRNA from 13 species